rnacentral:rRNA from 1 species
GACGAACGCUGGCGGCGUGCUUAACACAUGCAAGUCGAACGGAAAGGCCCUGCUUUUGUGGGGUGCUCGAGUGGCGAACGGGUGAGUAACACGUGAGUAACCUGCCCUUGACUUUGGGAUAACUUCAGGAAACUGGGGCUAAUACCGGAUAGGAGCUCCUGCUGCAUGGUGGGGGUUGGAAAGUUUCGGCGGUUGGGGAUGGACUCGCGGCUUAUCAGCUUGUUGGUGGGGUAGUGGCUUACCAAGGCUUUGACGGGUAGCCGGCCUGAGAGGGUGACCGGCCACAAUGGGACUGAGAUACGGCCCAGAAUCCUACGGGAGGCAGCAGUGGGGAAUAUUGCACAAUGGGCGGAAGCCUGAUGCAGCAACGCCGCGUGCGGGAUGACGGCCUUCGGGUUGUAAACCGCUUUCGCCUGUGACGAAGCGUGAGUGACGGUAAUGGGUAAAGAAGCAACGGCUAACUACGUG